rnacentral:rRNA from 1 species
CGUCUUUGGAAUUUUAUCAAAGGCACAGCCUGCCCGGGAGACGGUAGUUAAACGGCGGCAUUAGCGUGAUUGUCCAAAGGUAGCAUAUAAUACGCCUCUUAAUUAGUGGCUGGAUGAAGGGUUAGACGUGGGAGUAGCUGUCUUCUGGGCAUAUAUAGAACUUAUUUUGUAGGUGAAUAGACCUUUUUUUGGUUUCGGGACGGGUAGACCCCGAUGAGCUUGAUAGCGGGUGAUAGGUUUUCAGCUAAGGUUUAGAUUAAUUAACUUGGUGUUAGGCUGUUACUUCUUUUGUUGGGAGAACCGAGAUCAUGAAUAAAUGAUUCCACUUUUUGAUGUAUUAAUAAUUAUGUUGACCUUUAUUGAAAGACAAUUUUUAGUUAGAAAAUGCUACCGCGGGGAUAACAGCACUAUCCUUUCGGAGAGAAUAAAUUGCAGAGAGGGUUUAUGACCUCGAUUUUGGGUCAGAUGAUUCUGGGUGAUAUAAGAGCUCGCCCAAUGAUGGACUGUUCGUCCUUUAAAUUUCU